UCCCGCUUAGCUCAGUGGUAGAGCGCGUCACUAGUAAGUUUAGUUAGUCGUAUGGCUUAUGCAAUGACGAGGCCGCUUGUUCGAGUCAGGCAGUGGGAA